GGGGAUAUGGAUCAGUGGUAGAGUGCCUGGCUAGUAUGCAUGAGACUCUUGGUUUAAUUCCUAGUAUCAUCA
rnacentral:tRNA from 1 species